GAUGAACGCUGGAGGCGUGCAUGAUACACGCAAGCCGAGCGAACAGAUGAGAAGCUUGCUUCUCUGGUGUUAGCGGCGGACGGGUGAGUAACCUGUGGGUCACCUACCUAUAAGACUGGGAUAACUCCGGGAAACCGGGGCUAAUCUCGGAUAAUAUUUUGAACAGCAAGGUAAAAUAGUGAAAGACGGUUUGGGCUGUCAAUCAUAGAUGGACUAGCGGCGUAUUAGCUAGUUGGUAAGGUAACGGCUUACCAAGGCGACGAUGCGUAGCCGACCUGAGAGGGUGAGCGGCCACACUGGAACUGAGACACGGUCCAGACUCCUACGGGAGGCAGCAGUAGGGAAUCUUCCGCAAUGGGCGAAAGCCUGACGGAGCAACGCCGCGUGAGUGAUGAAGGUCUUCGGAUCGUAAAACUCUGUUGUUAGGGAAGAACAAAUUUGUGAGUAACUGAACAAGUCUUGACGGUACCUAACCAGAAAGCCACGGCUAACUACGUGCCAGCCGCCGCAGUAA
rnacentral:rRNA from 1 species